UACGGAGGGAGCUAGCGUUGUUCGGAAUUACUGGGCGUAAAGCGCGCGUAGGCGGCUUUGUAAGUUAGAGGUGAAAGCCCGGGGCUCAACCCCGGAACUGCCUUUAAAACUGCAUCGCUUGAAUCCGGGAGAGGUGAGUGGAAUUCCGAGUGUAGAGGUGAAAUUCGUAGAUAUUCGCAAGAACACCAGUGGCGAAGGCGGCUCACUGGCCCGUUACUGACGCUGAGGCACGAAAGCGUGGGGAGCAAACAGG
rnacentral:rRNA from 1 species